rnacentral:rRNA from 1 species
CAUGCCGUAAACGAUGAGUGCUAAGUGUUAGGGGGUUUCCGCCCCUUAGUGCUGCAGCUAACGCAUUAAGCACUCCGCCUGGGGAGUACGACCGCAAGGUUGAAACUCAAAGGAAUUGACGGGGGCCCGCACAAGCAGCGGAGCAUGUGGUUUAAUUCGAAGCAACGCGAAGAACCUUACCUGGACUUGACAUCUCCUGAAUAGUGUAGAAAUACAUGAAGCCCUUCGGGGCAGGAAGACAGGUGG